CCCUUCGGGGUACACGAGAGGCGGACGGCUGAGUAACGCGUGGGAACGCACCCUACACUGAGGGAUAAGAUACCGAAAGGUGUUCUAAUACCGCAUACGGUCUUCGGAUUAAAGUCUUCGGACGGUGAAGGAGCGGCCCGCGUCAUAUUAGGUAGUUGGUGGGGUAAUGGCCUACCAAGCCGAUGAUGUGUAGCUGGUCUGAGAGGAUGAUCAGCCAGACUGGAACUGAGAACGGUCCAGACUCCUACGGGAGGCAGCAGAG
rnacentral:rRNA from 1 species